UCUACCUCCAUUGCCUCCUCUUCCCAGGCCUGGCUCUGAAAGACUCCAGACCAUGCCCCACCUCUCUGCCUGAGGCCCUGCCCUCCAUCUCCUCUGCUUCUGCAGGGUGCAGGGCUGAGGAAGUGAGUCUACUCAGCUGCUCAGAGAAAGUGCUGCCUCUCCCUGCAUAGGGUGGGGCAGCUGCUAACUUGUUCCAGGGCUUUUGAUCACUCCCUUCUAUAGGCCUCCCCAGUCCCAGCUGGGACCACAGGCCCUGAAGGAAUGCCAGGGGGGCAAGGCUGCUACCCUCUUCCUCUCAAAGAAGUUCUCCCUCCCAAGUAUGGAUUUGCAUUUCCCCCUCUGUCUUCUGCUACCCAAGCCCCAAGGGAAGAGGUGACAGUUAAACCCCCACUUCCGGCUCCUGGCCCCAGAGGGCUCACUUCCUUCCAGGCCACUCCUCGACUUUUCAGCUCCCGCACAAUUCCUGUGGCAAGAAAAGAAACAGCUCUGUGAGGGAAGAUACAGUAGGCGAAGAAAGGUCCUUAUCUGACACCUGAGAGGGGAGCUAUAAGCAAACUGGAGUUCCUAGACUGCUCAUCGAUGAGUCCUGCUUUGUUGGAUUCUUACCAAUGAAGAUCCAGGCAAGUCCUGGCAAACACUGACCAGGAAAUCAAAGAAGAAAUGGAGCUGGCCCACCUUAAAAGAACUUCAGCAAGUACUUAAUAGUACCUCCUUAGCCCCCAGAGAAAAUGAUCUUCUGGCUAUUAUUUUGAGGAAGAAGAUCUAGCCACUCAUUAUGCUUCUCUCCCUUCCAUUUCUCCCCAAUGGACAAUUUUGCCAAAGGAAAACUCUUCUUCUAGGACUUCUUUAAGGCAACCAGCACCUCUACCAAAUCUUCUGGGAGAAGCAAAAGAAUUGUGCAGUGUGAGGAAGAGAGCCAAAGCUCCUCCUGACCCUGGGGAAUUCUUCAUACAAAGCACCAGCUCUCUGGUGUGUAGGCAGAGCACAGGCAUUUGUGUUUAUCUGAAUUGGAGCUUCAGGAUAUAAAUAGUUUCAGGCCCUUCUGUUCUAUCCUUGCAGCUGGCCUCCUUAUUGAAACAGCUUCUUCAAGGCAGACCUGCUUCUUGUUGCCUGCUUCUGUCCCAUGCUGUGUCCAGAUGGGAUCUGUGACUGGGGUCUGGUUGUUUUCUGUUUCUGAAUGUUCCCUGAACACAUUUUUACUCUGCUGUCUUGUGUACACCCUAUAUUGACUAUGAAGUAUGCUCUUUCUAAUUUUUUUUUUUUUUAGUUGUAGCUGGACACAAUACUUUUAUUUAUUUUUAUGUGGU